rnacentral:rRNA from 1 species
AUUGAACGCUGGCGGCAGGCCUAACACAUGCAAGUCGAGCGAGCGGCGGCCGGGUUAGUAAUGUCUGGGAAUCUUCCCGAUGGAGGAGGAUACCUACUGGAAACGGUAGCUACUACCGCAUACUAUCAGAUAGGCCCAUAUGGGAUUAGCUAGUAGGUGGGGUAAAGGCUCACCUAGGCGACGAUCCCUAGCUGGUCUGAGAGGAUGAUCAGCCACACUGGAACUGAGACAAGGUCCAGACUCCUACGGGAGGCAGCAGUGGGGAAUAUUGCACAAUGGGCGAAAGCCUGAUGCAGCCAUGCCGCGUGUAGGAAGAAGGCCUUCGGGUUGUAAAGCACUUUAAGUGGGGAGGCGUUACCCGCAGAAGAAGCACCGGCUAACUCCGUGCCAGCAGCCGCGGUAAUAC